ensembl:lncRNA
GGAGAGCCAAGCAGAAAGACGUCACUGCAGGAAACAAUUUUUCGGUGAAAGAAAAUGAGGACAGAAUAAAUGUCCCGGUAAGUAAUAUUAAGUUUGUUGAGUUUAGUAAACUUCGGUGAAAUUAGAAUACCAAGGAAAAAAAUAACACUUAAAAUAACACUUAAAAGAAUUAUUGGAAUAUUUCAGACAGUAUGCUACUGAGGGCAGCUAACAUAAGAGUUAUGAGUUAUAAGAUAUAAUCUAAGUCGUAACAUUGCUGUAUGGAGCUGCAGAUUUGGUUGCAGGUUAACAUAGCUGGACUGGCCGUCGGGCAUACCGGGCAUAUCCCCAGUGACUUAUUUUUUAUUUAUUUUGUAAUGGCAUGAACAAUGAGAGGUGGUGGAUUGGCCAGAUGCAGGUCGAUGUGUAAAAAUAACUCAGUUGUUUGGUGGUGGCUAUGGCGGGGCUUCCACAGAGGCCAGCAGGUGGAUGAGGGAAGGGGAGGCAGGAGAGCCCCGAGGCAGCCACCAGUCCGAGUGUCAGGUGAACUGAACUUCAGGUAAGAAGUUAUGAGCUGCAGUCUCUCUGGGUCAGAUAUAAACUAAGUUUAGGUGGAGUUUAUUUUCGUUGUGCUGACUUUUUACCCUCAGUUGCAAUAACUCGUACUGUGUUCUAGCCAGCUUGACGGAGUUUUUAUACAGCUGGGUGGUGCUAUGAUGUUACUGAUAGUGAACUUUAUUUUAUUCAUAAGGUUAGUAGAGUUGCCAACGGCUCCUUAAAAAAAUGGAAUGGUCCGUCAUUCAGAGAAAAUAUUACACGUUUCGUAUUGAGCUGAGAAGAGACGCAGUUUGUCCCGGACUUUCGCUAUAAUGAAAAAAAGACACAAAGCUG